UACGUGGGGGGCCAGCGUUGCUCGGAAUUACUGGGCGUAAAGGGUUCGUAGGUGGUGCGGCAAGUUGGACGUGACAUCUCUGGGCUUAACCCAGAGGCUGCUUUCAAAACUGCCGUGCUCGAGUGCGAGAGAGGUCAGUGGAAUUGCAGGUGGAGCGGUGAAAUGCGUAGAUAGCUGCAGGAACAACCGUGGCGAAGGCGGCUGACGGGAUCGCAACUGACACUGAGGAACGAAAGCUAGGGGAGCAAACAGG
rnacentral:rRNA from 1 species